rnacentral:rRNA from 1 species
CUACAGAGGGUGCGAGCGUUAAUCAGAUUUACUGGGCGUAAAGCGUGCGUAGGCGGCUUUUUAAGUCGGAUGUGGAAUCCCUGAGCUUAACUUAGGAAUUGCAUUCGAUACUGGGAAGCUAGAGUAUGGGAGAGGAUGGUAGAAUUCCAGGUGUAGCGGUGAAAUGCGUAGAGAUCUGGAGGAAUACCGAUGGCGAAGGCAGCCAUCUGGCCUAAUACUGACGCUGAGGUACGAAAGCAUGGGGAGCAAACAGGAUUAGAUACCCUGGUAGUCCAUGCCGUAAACGAUGUCUACUAGCCGUUGGGGCCUUUGAGGCUUUAGUGGCGUAGCUAACGCGAUAAGUAGACCGCCUGGGGAGUACGGCCGCAAGGUUGAA